AAAAUCUCUCCUCAGACCACUAAAAAAUGGUCAUUAAUCACAUCAAAAAGAUUUAUGGGCAAGAGUAGAAAUAAGGAUGUUUAAAUCAGAUAAAAACAAGAGGAAAUGUGUUUUCAGUAUCUUGAAACUAGGAAACAGAGUAUCUUCUAUCAAGUCAAUCAUGUUGCACAGCCAUUUUUUCAGCAGCUGCCCAAAGCAGACAAACUAUACCUUGGAUUUAGUGAGGACCUCUUUUUGCUUAAAAUUAAAGAUUGGAUAUUUGGGCCCAAACUCUACAUGCACCAGCCUGCAAAUAUGUUGAAUUCUGCUAUAAAAACUGACAUUUUAACAUGGGUGUUUAUGCAUAUUCCUUGCUUUUGAGUUCCAGCCCCAAGUGGACAUUGGAGUAACUGCAGUUUUUUACAGUCCCACAUCUCUUCAUUUUUUAACACCAGAGGUUUCCUUUUCUGCUCCAUUUCUCAUUGACUCUGCUGCUGCUUUAAAAAGUCAAAGUCCCGAGGGAGUGACCUUGUACUCUGUUUGAGUAACUAAAUGAAUUCCCAGCCUUCCCACUCCGAUCCAUAAAAAGAACAAAGAGUUGAAGUCAUCACAACUACAAUAGCUUGAUACAACCUCAAACAGGGAGGGGGGAAAAAACUUGUCUUAAACCCAGCAUCUUGUUUCCACUUUUAAAGCGGAUGCGUUUUCCCAGCCCUGCCAACGAGCGCACUUGAAAAACAAAACUAAAUAAAACAUAACUGAAAACAUGAUGCUGCUUAUUAAAAUAGACACAGAGAUAUGUGGAGAGGUUGGAAAGGCCUGAAAUUCCUCAAGUACUGAGGCGCAUGUUUUCUCACCAUCCCACAGACACAGCUCAUAGCUUUCUGCUUGGCUUGAGUCUGAACCUUUUCUCCCUCCAAAGAGUGAGAGUCUCAAAUACAAACAGCUGUGCAAGCUGUUUUGGAGCUGAAAGUGAAGUAAUUUGUUGGGUUGUUCCCUUAGCUGCUUAUUUAAUGGGGUGUCAACACAUUUGUGUCCUCUGACUCUUCUCCGACCCUUUGAGUAUUAUGUAAUUUCAUACUUACAGUAAGAGGAAACCACUCGUUUUAAAAAGGGAACUUGACCACAUGAACAAAAGUCAUGUCUAUGAACGAAUUAUAGUUUUAUUGGGGGUCAUGAGAGCAACUAUUUCUUGUACAGAUUCACUGCAAUAUUGCUGUUGAUCAUCAUUUCAUCCAACAACAAUCCAAACCUCACUGUGUGCUCCACCUAUGUAUUGAUAGUCAUUGCUGUUAGACAACUUGCUUUGGCCAGGAAAGUUC